UACACGGAUGCCCCACUCGCAUUAUCCUUUUCCAUGUUUAAUGGACCGUGAAAUUGGGUAAAAAAAACUAAUUUGGAUUUGAAAUUAUCAUAUCAUAAAAGAGGGACGAAAGAUACCAAAGGGACAGUCAAACUCAUAAAUCUAUAACAAACUGACAACGCCAUGGCUAAAAAUGAAAAAGACAAACAAACAACAGCACACAUGACACAACAUAGAAAACUAAAGAAUAAACAACACGAACCCCACCA
rnacentral:lncRNA from 1 species